rnacentral:rRNA from 1 species
GUCCUUCGCCUCGAUUUCCCCAACGAUGACUCUCGCAGGGCGAGGGCGUGGUAGGGGGAGCAGUGUGUGGGCUCCAAGGCGAUUUAUUCGUCUGGCAGGGUUGCGCUUCAGGGUAGGCAGGUCUGACUUGGUAGAAUUCAAGUCGGGUUCGUCUUUCACUCUGGUGCUGCUGCUUCUCGGUGGCUGCUGCAGGGUAGGCAGCUUCGACUUGGUCGCGGUGGGAGCAGUCCUGUCCGCUGUAGCUGGCAGUGGGUGCUACAGGGUAGGCAGGAAUGAGUUGGUCGCGGCAGCGGUUAUCUGGGUGGCUAUAGGUUAGGCAGCUCGGACUUGGUCGUGACGGCGGCUGGGUAGUAUGCUUGGUCGCAGCGGCAGUGAUUUAAGUAGCUAUAGGUUAGGCAGCUUCAAGUGUAGGCAGGUCUGACUUGGUGAAAUUGGUGGCCGGAUCGGCUCCCGGGUAGGCAACUUUGCAGGGACCUCUGGCGCCUUCCACAGAGCUGCUACGGGGUUGAGGAGACUACU